UACAGAGGUCUCAAGCGUUGUUCGGAUUCAUUGGGCGUAAAGGGUGCGUAGGCGGCGCGGUAAGUCGGGUGUGAAAUCUCGGAGCUUAACUCCGAAACUGCAUUCGAUACUGCCGUGCUUGAGGACUGGAGAGGAGACUGGAAUUUACGGUGUAGCGGUGAAAUGCGUAGAUAUCGUAAGGAAGACCAGUGGCGAAGGCGGCUUGCUGGGCCUUACCUGACGCUGAGGAGCGAAAGCGUGGGGAGCGAACAGG
rnacentral:rRNA from 1 species